rnacentral:lncRNA from 1 species
UGAUUGUCGAAUUUUUGUGUUGCAUCAUAUCAGGCAGUGCAGCAUUGCCUAUCUGAUUAUGGUAUAUAGAUACAGAUUGGAGUCAGUGGUGCAACAUGCUCAAUUGCUUCAGGGUAAAAUAAAAUUUUAUGUGGUAUUGUAUUAAAUGAAUUAUUGCAAAAUUUCCUUCCUGAUCUUCAGGAGACAUUCAGUAAGUUAUGGUUUUGCUUAUUAUUUGAAUUUCUCCAGUCAAAAAAAAAAGUUGAUUUUUUUUGACCCAUGUAUAAGCCAACCCCCCACUUCAGAAACUUUUUUCGGGAAAAAACCUCGGCUUAUACACGAGUAUAUACGGUAUGCUGAAAAUAUUAAUUAUUUUAUAAUAAAUG